UAGUCCACGCCGUAAACGAUGGUUACUAGCUGUUUGGUUUUCGGACUGAGUGGCUAAGCGAAAGUGAUAAGUAACCCACCUGGGGAGUACGUUCGCAAGAAUGAAACUCAAAGGAAUUGACGGGGGCCCGCACAAGCGGUGGAGCAUGUGGUUUAAUUCGAUGAUACGCGAGGAACCUUACCAGGGCUUAAAUGUAGAUUGACAGGUUUAGAGAUAGACUUUUCUUCGGACAAUUUACAAGGUGCUGCAUGGUCGUCGUCAGCUCGUGCCGUGAGGUGUCAGGUUAAGUCCUAUAACGAGCGCGACCCCUGUUGUUAGUUGCCAGUGAGUAAUGUCGGGAACUCUAACAAGACUGCCGGUGCAAACCGCGAGGAAGGUAAGGAUGACGUCAAGUCAGCAUGCCCCUUAUGCUCUGGGCUACACACGUGCUACAAUGGCCGUGACAAAGAGUUGCUACUUUGUGAAAACAAGCUAAUCUCAUAAACGCGGCCUCAGUUCGGAUUGUUUCUGAAAUUCGAAAAUA
rnacentral:rRNA from 1 species